rnacentral:rRNA from 1 species
UACGGAGGUGGCAAGCGUUGCUCGGAAUCACUGGGCGUAAAGGGUGCGUAGGCGGCGCGGUAAGUCGGGUGUGAAAUCUUGGAGCUUAACUCCGAAACUGCAUUCGAUACUGCCGUGCUUGAGGACUGGAGAGGAGACUGGAAUUUACGGUGUAGCGGUGAAAUGCGUAGAUAUCGUAAGGAAGACCAGUGGCGAAGGCGGGGUCUCUGGAGCAGUUCCUGGACGCUGAGCACGAAGGCCAGGGGAGCAAACGGG